AGAGUUUGAUCCUGGCUCAGAUUGAACGCUGGCGGCAUGCUUUACACAUGCAAGUCGAACGGCAGCACGGGUGCUUGCACCUGGUGGCGAGUGGCGAACGGGUGAGUAAUGCACCGGAACGUACCCAGUAAUGGGGGAUAACACAUCGAAAGAUGUGCUAAUACCGCAUACGCCCUGAGGGGGAAAGCGGGGGAUCGUAAGACCUCGCGUUAUUGGAGCGGCCGAUGCCGGAUUAGCUAGUUGGUGGGGUAAAGGCCCACCAAGGCGACGAUCCGUAGCUGGUCUGAGAGGACGACCAGCCACACUGGGACUGAGACACGGCCCAGACUUCUACGGGAGGCAGCAGUGGGGAAUUUUGGACAAUGGGGGGAACCCUGAUCCAGCCAUGCCGCGUGAGUGAAGAAGGCCUUCGGGUUGUAAAGCUCUUUCGCAAGGAAAGAAAUCCUAUCCGCUAAUACCGGGUGGGGAUGACGGUACCUUGAUAAGAAGCACCGGCUAACUACGUG
rnacentral:rRNA from 1 species